UAUAAGCACUAAUACCAAAGGUGCAGUUUAUGAGCUCACAACGCAAUCACAUAAAUAAAUCGUCUGAAUAAUAUAAACCCACAUGUGCAUCCACCGCAUCAAUUCACGUAUAUAUGCAUCAAUUAUCAAACCAAAUAUCUCAACAAUUGCAUGCAUGGCAAUUUAAAUCAUAAUUUUCAAAUAAACGCAUUUUCUGGGAAAAACAAUAGUAUAUAGGUAAUACGAAAACAAAACUGCCCACUCACCUGGAGUUCGCCCUACAACUCCCUAGCACAAUACGUCAAGGCGUCAUGACGAUCGGCGCCUAAAACAAUAAUCAAAUCCAAUCUCAGAAAUCAUAUCGAUAGAAUAUAUAACUUAUAUAAAACACGUCACUACGCAGUUUGAUCUGGAAGAUCUGCAACUCAGAUUUCAAAUCCAUAACUUCCAGAGGACCACAAUAUACCUCCAGGACAACAUCCUAAAAUUUCAUUACCAUCCAACGGUCGGAUCUCCGUCAAUUAUCAAAACCAAGUGACGGUUAACAUUCUAUAUUAUGGACUUACAACCCCAAUUCCGGAAGAUCCGCAUUUCGGAUUCCCAAUCCGUAAGUUCCUAUAAUCCUCAAAUAUUACGUAUUACAACGCAUCAAAGUUUGGUGACGAUCCAACGGUCGGAUCGUCAAUUCACAUUUUCACCUAAAUGCGAAAACUAUAAAACGUUAUUUAAGGCACCUAACUAACAAUUCUUAAUAACUUCUCAUACGGUGCUUAAUUUGGGUAUAUGAAUAUACCACAUUGACCUACUCGACGUCACGGACGUCGAAAAAUUUUUAAAAUAAUUUUUGAUGUGGCACGCGCCCCCACGCGCCAGGGAAGGCACGGGUCCACGCGCACCUUCUUCCUCGCGAGCUCGCCGGACUGGUUUUUCCGGUGGCCGGAAAACUGGGGAAUUUUCAAAUGCUUUGUUCUCCUUCGUUUCU
rnacentral:lncRNA from 1 species